ACGACACACACUGAGUAAAUGACACUGAUUUUUGUCCGAAAUGACGCAGUUUAUUUAUUAUACUUCGUAUGACUUAAACUGUGUGUCUAAAGUGUGAGGUUUAUAUUAGAUUAAACUGACCUAUUAUAUAAAAUUUAAAUAUGCUUAGGAGAAGGAAAAUGGACGUAGUCUGGUUAACGGUUAUGAGAUGCGAUGGCAAGAUAGAUUCCAUCGAUUUUUUGUUACAUGUUGAUUCCAAUUCCUUUUUUUACCAUUUUAACAAUUAUUUUAAAUUUCAUUUUUACACAGUGUAACAUGAAACGAACAUAAAAUUAGAACCUUUACUACAAAGGCCGAUUUCACAAUGUUAUUCACGGUUUACAGUCCUUAAUCGCGAUUUACGCGGUAUUUCACCAGGUCCAAUUAAGCGUGACUAUUAACUACCAACUAUAUUACAAAUGAUAUGUUUUUGACUUUGCUACGGAGAUAACUCUGACUGGCUCUUGCUUGCAAUUGAAUCAGAACCCGUAAUACACCAGUUUUUCACCAACGUUAACACAACUACGACAAAUACUGACUGGUCCACGCUCGAAAUACCUUCGGUGCCAAUAGUAUGUUAGUAUUGAGUCAACACUGGCCGCCAGAAUUA